rnacentral:lncRNA from 1 species
AUCCUACAAAAUACAAAUAAUCCAUACCAUAUUUUAGGAUUAAAUAUACGGUCAUUCAAACACUAAAUAACAAGUUCUUAACAAUAAUUCAAAUUCAAAUUAUAAAGUAAGGUGAUUUCUUUAAUUCUCUUCAUUUUGUCUUUGUCACAUUGAAAACAAAAAUCCUACACCAAAAAAUAAAUAAAAUGAUAUUAACAUGCUGCAACACUGAUGAUAGUUGUUGAGUGUUAGAAAAUGUAUAUUUAUAAAGGAGAAAAUCGUCAUUUUACAUUUUAAGUUUUACUAACACCCUUACUUUUAUAUAUUUAACCUUCUUUUGAUUUAAUUCUGUGUGUUUUAUUUUAAUUAAGUAUUUUAUGUAUUGAGAUCAGACGGCAAAACAUCUGUUCACAUAGACGGAUCGAUGACGUGGCAUUGACCGAUGAUGUGGCAUUGACUGAUGAGGUGUCAUGAUCCUGUUGGUCUAAAAUUCUUAUGAACUGUUGAUGGUGACGUGGCAGCAUAUUAGUGGACCAAAACUUGCACGUACGGUACAUGCAUUACACAGGAUUAUUUUCAACCAAACCGCGUUACUAUUCAAAGCUGGGUCAAAUCAAACCGUGGACUGUUGACUGAUGACGUGGCGCAAUCCUGAGCGUCCAAACUGUUUUUAAUCUGAUGGCCAUGAUUUACUCAAUGUAUCUAUAAAAAGGGGGCCUCCCCCCCUAAUUUGAUACCUCUGAAUCCAUUUUUGGGAUGCAUUUUCUGUAAUUCAUUCUCCAUCUUGUAUUUUCUAUGUAUUUUAAGUGGCUAAUUUACUUUGCCCCUAGUUCAAUUAUGAGUGGCUAAUUUUCUUUAAAGCUUGGGAUGAAGGUGAAGUCUCAACAUGUGUCAUGAGUUUAUUUGGUAAAUUUACUUUCUCUUCCCCUCUAAUUUUUGUGAAUGUUUUGACUUCUCGUCGACAAAUAAUACUAAUCUUGUCUAGUAUCGCCUUGGUUUCACCGGCCCCCUAGUACAAGGUUAUUAUUAUUUGGCACGAUAAGCCCUUAGCACCAUAUUGAUUAGAGUGUGGUUCGUGAGGUGUGGAUUCCCCCUUCAUGAUUUAAUUGGUAUUAAUAAGGAAUAUUUAGCCCAUGGUACAUGUUGAUACGGAUCCAGAUACCCAAGUACGUCAAUUUAAUAGAUUUUCACUUUAAUUUAUUCUUGCCAUCUUAAUUCAAAUUUUAGGAUAAUCCAAAUCCUUUUUACCACAAAUCCAACCACCCAUUUAGAAAAUUAAUUCUAUACACAAUUAAAAUCCACCUUCUCGUGGGAUCGACACUCGUCACCAUUGAUCUAUACUACAAUAGAUCCGUGCACUUGCGAGUUCAAUGAAAUUUGCACAACAAUAGUUACCGUAAAAUUUUAAACGAUCAAAUAUAUAGAAAAUUUGUAGUAUUGUUAAGGAAAUAAUAAUAAUUAAUUCUCUUCUAAAGUAAGGAAACUUGACCAAUGAUGUGUACUUUUUGAAAGCUGAACAAAUCAAGCAUACGAUAAUAUCGGACAUGAUGACCACAUUUAGAAAGAUUUGAGAAGAAGAGCUAGGCCUUAGGAUAAGAUGAGUAAUAGAAACAAUAAUUAAUAUUUGUAAAUAAAUUAUAAAACAAUUCACUCUAGCUUUAAUCCAUUUUAUCAAUUAUGAGAUGGAAAUUUAAAGGCAACUAAUCAUAAGCUUGAAUAACUUUUAAGCUCAAAAACUAAAUCAUUACUAAAGGAUGCAUCUUGACGAUGACAGUGCAUUUGGAAAAAAAAAAAAGGUAAAAGAAAAAGAAUCAUAUCAAUUCAAAUGUGUAGAGAUGAAUAAUCUCAAGUGAUGGAGAAAUCUAAAGGCAAAGAAUAUAUGAUAAUGUGAGAUAUACCUCUAAAUAGCUCUAAAAUUAAAAAAAGAAAAAGAAAAAUAAUCAAAGCUUACUAUGCGAGUGUGAGUAAGGUGAGAUGGUGUCGUCUAAGAAAUUGUGGAGAGAACAAAAAGAAAUUGCUGAGGGCGAAUCGUGAACACUGAACACUGAAGACAGGAGAAGGUUGCCGCAGUUGAGAGAUGAAGGGAAAGAGAGAGCGAAA